rnacentral:rRNA from 1 species
UAGGGAAUAUUGCAAAAUGGGCGAAAGCCCGAUGCAGCAACGCCGCGUGGGCGAUGAAGGCCUUCGGGUCGUAAAGCCCUUUUUGAGGGGAUGAGGAAGGACAGUACCCUCAGAAUAAGCCUCGGCUAACUACGUGCCAGCAGCCGCGGUAAAACGUAGGAGGCGAGCGUUAUCCGGAUUUACUGGGCGUAAAGCGCGUGCAGGCGGAUUGGAGAGUUGGAUGUGAAAGCUCCCGGCUUAACUGGGAGAGGUCGUUCAAUACUUCCAGUCUUGAGUGCAGUAGAGGGUAGUGGAAUUCCGGGUGUCGUGGUGAAAUGCGUAGAUAUCCGGAGGAACACCAGUGGCGAAAGCGGCUUCCUGGACUGUAACUGACGCUCAGACGCGAAAGCUAGGGUAGCAAACG